AUUGAACGCUGGCGGCAGGCCUAACACAUGCAAGUCGAACGAGUGGCGGACGGGUGAGUAAUGUCUGGGAAACUGCCUGAUGGAGGGGGAUAACUACUGGACACGGUAGCUAAUACCGCAUACCAUCAGAUUUGCCCAGAGGGGAUUAGCUUGUUGGUGGGGUAACGGCUCACCAAGGCGACGAUCCCUAGCUGGUCUGAGAGGAGGACCAGACAACCUGGAACGGAGACACGGUACAGCGUCCUACGGGAGGCAGCAGUGGGAAAUAUUGCACAAUGGGCGCAAGCCUGAUGCAACCAUGCCGCGUGUAUGAAGAAGGCCUUCGGGUUGUAAAGUACUUUCAGCGGGGAGGCGUUACCCGCAGAAGAAGCACCGGCUAACUCCGUGCCAGCAGCCGCGGUAAUUC
rnacentral:rRNA from 1 species